rnacentral:lncRNA from 1 species
AUAUAAUUAGCACAUAUUUUUUAAUUUUAACAAAUAGUAGCAUUACACCUAUAUAAAAGGGCUUGCAUAAAUGAAUAUAUAACACGUAUAUACUGUUAUUUUUGUGUGUAAAAUGCACAAUUUGAAUUUCAGUAAUAUGAACUAUUACAUCAAAUUGUAAUAAAUUGCCCUCAUUUAAAAAAAAAAUUAAUGUCCUAGAUUUGUAAAAAAAGGGUUAAGACACAUUUUAACAUUUAUUAAAUUCUGAUUUUUUGUAAUAAACAAAAAUUCUAUGAAUAUAUAUAUUAUGGAAUAUGGGAAAUACACAGGCAAUAUUAUCUGAGAAGGACCAGAAGGAUUUAUUACAAGCCGCUAAUUUUAGCGAAGCAGAUAUAAAAAAAAUGUAUAAAAGGUUUGUUGAGCUUGAUACUAAUAAAAAUGGACAACUAGAUCCUCAAGAGUUAUUUAAUGUUCCUGAAAUAAGUGAAGUAAAAAAAAAAAAAGAAAAAAAAAAAUACAUAUAUAUAUAUAUAUAUAUAUAUAUUGUAUAUAUUGUAUUUAUUGUAUAUUUUGUAUUUAUUGUAUUUAUUAAAUAUAUAUAUAUAUAUAUAUAUACAGAGAGAGAAAUAAAUAAUAACACC